UAUGAAAAAAAAAUUAGCAUAAAAUAAUACAUAAAUUGUUUUAAAUAUUAGAUUAUACAAAAAUGUUAAUUUAGUUAUCAACAUAAAAAUAAUAAAAGAAUAGAAAUAUGACAUUUAAAAUCCAAAAAAUUCAAAUUCAUCAAUAAUGGAAAAUGAUACGGGAAAACGAAAAUUAAUCCAUAAAACAGUUUAAAAAAUUAAAUUAAUUAGUAACUAAAAUAUCAGUUUAUAAUUAAUUUUAUUUAUUUUUAGAGAACAUAUUUUUGUUAAUGCAAAAAUGAAAUAUAAUUCAUAGAUAUGUUUCACAAAAAAAAAGUGAUAAAAUCAAAUAAUAAAGAACAAACAAAAAGGGUCUGGGACCACAAAAAGAAUCUGUCACUUUCCAGACAAAAACAAAUUAAAGUAAAUAUAUAGUAGAAAAAAAACAGGAAGGAACCCACACGAAAAAGUUUGCCGCAAGAAAAAAAAUAAAAAAAAACAAAAGUG
rnacentral:lncRNA from 1 species